rnacentral:misc_RNA from 1 species
GUUGCUUGAAAUGCAGGUGCAGCUGGACUUUCCUCUGAGCUAAAAGCAUAUUUAUUUAAUCCCGUCAAACGGAUUAUUACUUUUGCUGCAGCUAACAUAAAGGAGAAUCGUUCUUGUGCUGACUGAUGCAGGAUUCACAGGUUGCUUCGGCGACUUGUAAACUCGAUCUCAAAUCAAGUAAGACUACCCGCUGAACUUAA